rnacentral:rRNA from 1 species
GACGAACGCUGGCGGCGUGCUUAACACAUGCAAGUCGAACGGAAAGGCCCUGCUUUUGUGGGGUGCUCGAGUGGCGAACGGGUGAGUAACACGUGAGUAACCUGCCCUUGACUUUGGGAUAACUUCAGGAAACUGGGGCUAAUACCGGAUAGGAGCUCCUGCUGCAUGGUGGGGGUUGGAAAGUUUCGGCGGUUGGGGAUGGACUCGCGGCUUAUCAGCUUGUUGGUGGGGUAGUGGCUUACCAAGGCUUUGACGGGUAGCCGGCCUGAGAGGGUGACCGGCCACAUUGGGACUGAGAUACGGCCCAGACUCCUACGGGAGGCAGCAGUGGGGAAUAUUGCACAAUGGGCGGAAGCCGGAUGCAGCAACGCCGCGUGCGGGAUGACGGCCUUCGGGUUGUAAACCGCUUUCGCCUGUGACGAAGCGUGAGUGACGGUAAUGGGGAAAGAAGCACCGGCUAACUACAU